rfam:Salmo salar isolate Sally breed double haploid chromosome ssa02, whole genome shotgun sequence.
CUCACUACGUACUCUAAGUCACUCUGGAUAAGAGUGUCUGCUAAAUGACUAAAA